rnacentral:lncRNA from 1 species
UUGAGAGUAUGAAUGCCUCGAUUUGGUACUACUCUUGUGGCCCAUGCCGAAACAAUGUUGUACUCCUAGAUGUCCAAUCAACUAUUGCGCCUCAACGCAUUUCAGGGGGAACCAGCUAGCUCUAGAUUCGAGUGACAUUCCACCACUAAACAUAGCUCAUCCGUUGAUUCUUCAACAUCAGUCGAUUCGGACCUCUACUUAGUUUUACUCAAUCUUCAUUCUGGUCAUAUAUAGAUCUCCUAGGUUCAAGUUCAUAAGUAGUGAUAAUUGCCCAAUGAAGACCCGCUUUCGCUACAGCUCCGAUAGGUUCCCUCAACCAAGCCACUGUCUAUGAGUCGUUGGCUCAUUCUUCAAUAGGACGUGGUUAGAAACCUGGCUCCUCUCAUUGCUUGGGAGCUUAAGGUUUCAUGUUUUAUUUCACUUUCCGAUGGAGGUUCUUUUUAUCCUUCC